rnacentral:rRNA from 1 species
GAUGAACGCUGGCGGCGUGCCUAAUACAUGCAAGUCGAGCGAACAGACGAUGAGCUUUCUCCUCUGACGUUAGCGGCUGACGGGUGAGUAACACGUGGAUAACCUACCUCUAAUACUGGGAUAAUUUCGGGGAACCGGAGCUAAUACCGCAUAAUAUAUUCAACCGCAUGGUUCAAUAGUUAAAGACGCUUUUGCUGUCACUUAUAGAUGGAUCCGCGCCGCAUUAGCUAGUUGGUAAGGUAACGGCUUACCAAGGCAACGAUCCGUAGCCGAACUGAGAGGAUGAUCGGCCACACUGGAACUGAGACACGGUCCAGACUCCUACGGGAGGCAGCAGUAGGGAAUCUUCCGCAAUGGGCGAAAGCUUGACCGAGCAGUGCCGCGUGAGUGAAGAAGGUCUUCGGAUCGUAAAGCUCUGUUGUUAGGGAAGAACAAAAGUGUGAGUAACUCCGCCCGUCUUGACGGUACCUAAACAGUAAGCCCCGGCUAACUUCGUG